GCGCUCGUAGCUCAAUGGUAGAGCAGUCGACUUAUACUCGACCGGUUGUAGGUUCGAGUCCUACCGGGCGCA
rnacentral:tRNA from 1 species